GUAAGGGUCAGCGGGGGUGAUGGGGGGGGGCGGUCAAGCCUGAAGACAGAGCGCAGCCAUCUCAGCUCUAGCUGACAGUUGCCAUGAGGGAAUCCUGGUGCAGUCAGAUCCUUUUAUUGAACCAUUGUUAAAAAGAAGCCCCAAAUGAAGAUUUUAUAUGGAGUCUUCUGAUUUUAAAUUUGGCAAUUAAUUCACAUUUGUAAAUAAAACUGGUUUGGCUAUAGAGAACAGUUAGUGACCCCAGCUAAGCAGAAUUCCACCAAAUACCCUGCUGUUGAAGAGACAGAGAUUCAAACAUAGAGUGUGUACAAGCUUGGUUGGUAUCACAGUUCUACCAGUGCUGCCUUAUGAUGUUGGGCAUAUUUUUUCACCUCAUUUGAGAAAGGCUUUAAUAAUGCCUGACCAAAUAAUGCUGGACCAAGCAGAGAAGGUAGACACAAUUCAUGGCACACGGCAGGCACUGAGACAGUUUCAGCUCCUUGUAUGUUUGCUGAUGUCAUCUUGGUUUUUCAGGAUGGCACAUCUAACUUUAAAUCUACGUACUCAGUGCCUUGUUUCUUUUCCAUCUCAGAGUACAGUGAAAAUGCUGGGUUGAGGACUGGUCCUCCUGUCUUGGUUCCUUCAUGCUUCCUCUCCUCAGGCCUAGGACUAAAAAAUCCUUUGGGGAAAGUCACGUGUUAUAUUGAAUGUGGCUGAUACAAAGAUACUUUUCAAAGGGAAAAAAAAGCUGCUUUCUACCAUUUGCACUGUUCUAAUCUUUGGUAUUGAAGAAAAUCUGCGAGGAGGACAAGGGAGAUAUAGUUACUCUCCAGCUCUUUGGGACAUCUGGCAAUGAGUCCAAACACAUGCAAAUAAAGAAUGAAGUUAUUUUCAUAAAAGGUGGAGCCAUGUACCCUUGUAAUUAUGCUCUCUGAUUUUAGAAGGAGGAGAAAGAUAAGAUUUAAGGAAUUAGGAAAAGGAAUGACCAGAAAACAAGGGCCGCAGUGUGGAAAACAUAAAGAAUUAUUUGAGUAAAUGACAACUCACAUUUUUUAAAAAGUAUGUAUCUCCUUGAAAAAUCCUCUGAACAUUUCUAAAUUUUGAAGCUUUCAUACAUACAUCUGAAAAAAGAGAAUAUUAGGCUUUUUAUUAGUGUGAAUUUACAAGACUUCUCUUGAUGUGAUUAUGUAAGUUUAUACACGAUUCUUUUCUUUUUAAAAAGCAUUUACUCAUUUUUUUUUUUUUUGGUUUCGUAACUCUCAACAAUGGGCGUUAAAUUGAUUGAAGUUAUAUUAAAUUGGGUAUAUUAUGUGAGUAGUUAUAUAUUUCAGUUAAUGAAAUUUGAAGCUUUAAACUUUUUAAAAAGUAAAUAACAUAGUUUCUUAAUAAAAUAUAUUUUCAAGAUGAAUUGAUAUCUUGGUUAUGGCAUGUGCAAGGGAGAGUGGAAAGGAAUUUUUUAUUUUUUAAAUAUAUCUUACAUAAGAAUACUAGGAGGAUUCUAACAUACAACAUAAGAGCCUAAUUUUUUAACAAGUUACUUUUCAUUAUAAUAGGGACUUCCUUGUAGAUUUAGUG
ensembl:lncRNA